CCUACGGGAGGGAGGCAGCAGUCGAGAAUAGUCUACAAUGGUCGAAAGACUGAUAGUGCGACGCCGCGUGAACGAAGAAGCCCUUCGGGGUGUAAAGUUCUUUUAUAUGUGAGCAAUGGGUUCCAUAUUAAUAGUAUGGGAUCAGAGAUAUUAGCAUAUGAAUAAGCAACGGCUAACUCCGUGGCAGCAGCCGCGGUAAU
rnacentral:rRNA from 1 species